UGGCUCAGCAAGCACAAAGGUGACAUCUCAGUGGAAGCGGUCUGCGGCCAGAUGUAGAUGACUUGCAAAUAUGCAUAAUACUUCAUUCCAGGCCACUCUGAGUGCUUGGAAGUUAUGCUCUCUCAGAGCUCCCAGGUACCCCGGGGGUAAAGAGGUUCGGUGAUGUCUUCCAGGUCACAGGCGUAAAUAGUUGUAGAUCCAGGGUUCAAAUGCAAGCAGUCGAGCUCCAGAGUCUGGGUAACUGGGAGCACCUUAGGAUGCAUAAGCCAUACAGACCCUGCUUUAGUGGGCCUGGGGCUCUCCGGGGCCUCUGACUUGCGGUCCUGGAACCCUGCUUUGUGAAACCUGGUGAUGCAGAGGAGGGAUCCCCUCCUCUGUCUGACAGAGUGGACGAGAAACAGGACUGCAGGCACCACAGUCCCAGGGAGGGAGUCCAGAGUUCUCCACUGCCAGGUCCCCCGAUCAGGUUCCUGUCACAGUCCCCAGGAUGGGAGCUAGAGCUCUGGGCCUCAGGGGCAGCCCCAAGGCUGCUAUAGGACACCCCCUGCCCCCCCUCCCCAGGUUCCUGUCUCUGAGUCCUUCCCAGUGAUUGCUGGGACAUGAAACAAACCCAAGAGCCAGGCUCCUCUGGGAGGAGACCACGCACCCAGAGCCAGGCCCCGGGAGGCUUCCUCAGGCUCUGAUUCCCCGGAGGAAGAAGUGUGGAGAGCUGUGAAGCCUCUGUGCCUCUCUCUGAGCAGACUAACUCCCUGGAGGGCAGGCUGUGGUCUUCCUGGUGCCUGACGUGAUCACUGAGGAAUGAACUCAUGAAAGGACUGCUCUUCGCCUCAGCCCGAGCGGGAAGAUGGAUUCCAGAACCAAGGGCCAGAGCAGCUGCUCCUGAGUGGAGCUUCGAGGGGCAGAGCCAAGCCAGGGCCCUGGAGGCGACUCCAGCCCGCCCUCCUGACCGUGGGCAGUGUCAGGGAAGCCUCUCCACCUGCCUGUCCCUGGUGUCCCACCUCCAGGGAGGGUGGAAACAGGUCUACAGACAGGUCAUCAUGACCUCUGGCCUUCGACCUCACAGACGUGCACACACGAGUGGCCCAUGCCUAGACGGCUGCAGGGACGGGAAGGCUGAGUUCCGUUCCGGAGAGGAACACCUCCUCCCCCUGCCAGGAGGAGGCGGAGUGACUCAGAGCAAGCUGGAGCCUGGGCUCCGUGUGUGAGAAGAGGAAGGAAGAAAGAGAAGGCCCAGCUCUUUCCCUGGUAAAUUCCAGUAAGUGUACGUUUGGGCCUCAACGUUCCCUGCUGCACAGGGGAAGGUGGAAGACUCACGUGGCCUCAGUCUAUUUGCAAGGGAGGCUGAGGACAGAGGACAGUGAGGAUGUUGGAUGUAUGUGGCCUCUCCAUCACCCAAAGAUGCAUUUCUACUAUUGAGCUGUCCGUCAGAAAUUAAAGUCAAGAUUCUGAUUUAGAUGUGGAACGAGGGAUGGGGCCCAAACCCCCAUGAAUCCCAUUUCCAACCCUGGUGUCCCCAGAGCUUGACCUACGAGUGCACCCAGGAGGUGGGAGACACACAACAGAGGGUCUGGAGCACUGGUUUGGGUUGGAAGCCAGGGUCUGAAACUGGCUCCAUUAAAAGAUGAUUAUCUAUCAUAUUUUUAAAAAGCAGUUAAAUACGUGACAGUUAAAAACAACUCGCGUAUACGGUAUUCUUCAGGUGCACUGGUGGGGCGCACAGGCUGGAAGGAGACUUGUGAAAGGCGGCGCCAAGACGCGGAGGACUGUAGGGUAGUGAGCACAGAAGGCCUAGGAGAGUGUGGCCCCGGGAGCCCCAGACCCAGCCUCCUGCUCCUGCUCGGCAGCGCCACUCUUCAACAUGAGCAUGCGGCCCUGUGUGUCUGCAGGGCCACACGGAGCCGCAGCCUCCUGCUGCUGCUGCUGCUGCUAGCUGAGAAGGGAGCGUGACGUGCGCUUCAGUGGCUCAGGGCCUGGCUCUGUCCCUGGGGCCGCUGAGGAGGAGCCCUGUGCUCUGGGGGAAGGGUCACCAGGCAAAGGGUCAUAAAGGUAGCCAGAAAAUUUCCAAAUUAGUCAUGGGAACAGGCCAACCUCAGAGCAGGGACCCAGAAAUCAGGAAUGUUCCUGGCCCUGGCCGUGACGUCUCUGCUUACAGCCUCCGAGACAUGGCCCCACCAAGAAAUGCUAAAAAUACCUUGGCCAGGGGCCUUGAUUGCACUUAAAAACUGCUCUCUGGAGGCAGCCUUGGGGACAGCUGAUGGUAAUGUGGGCGCCAGGCCGGCAGCCUGCCCGGCUGAAAAGGUCAGCCCGUGUUGGGUGCUUCCAGAUGGGAGGUUCUGCCAGGACUUCUUGAGUACUCGCCAUCAAGUGCAACGCCACCGUAAGCAGCUCUGCCUGAUCUGCUGGGGACAGAGCUGAGCCCCUUCUGGGUUUCGUGGCCUUAAUGGUGGCUCUGCUUUGGCUCAGCUGAUGGUUGAACAGCAGGCAGGCAGCACCAGCUCCACCGGGCUCACCUGUGCCUCUGCAGGGUUUCCAGGCCACCUCCUCUGAAAUCCCUGCACAUCACAGGAGGGUGCUCCUGGCUCCGGGUCAGUGCCCUGCUUUCUGUUUCUCCGACAGAAGACUCCCUGGCCUGACACUGCCGUUAUCCUGGACACGGGCAGCCUCCUUGUGGGACCAUCACACUUUAUGGGCACGAGGUUUCUAAGCACUACUUCUGAGUCACAGCUGCCAAGAGUCAGUGUGAUGGGUGGAAGCUGGAUGACGUCCUGGUAGAAUACAAUCCCAGCAGUGAAAUUCCUAGAGGAACGAGAAGGCACACUUGCACUGUUAACACCCACUGACAAACGGCCCUGCAGCAAACGGUAUGCCAACUUUUAAUCUCUGUCAGUCUAAGUAAAACAAUUUGAAAUUGUAGUUUUAAAUACUACUUGUUUCAUUCUAAAUGGAGUUGAAGCACAUGAAAAUAUGCUUAUGAGCCAUCUAUUUCCCUGUGAAGUGCCUGUUUUGUUCUUGAUCCAUGUCUUGGGUGGGUUGGUGAUCCCCUUGUUUAUUCACGAGGGUGCUUUACAUGUGAAGACACUGGCUCUGUAGUUUAUAUGUGUUUCAAAUAUUCUGUGCAGUUUGUCAUUUGUUUUCUGAUAGAUUUUCCCAUGAGGAUAUUUUAAAAGAAUUUUGCAGUCAAACAAACGUGCCAGACUUCUCCAUCAUGGUUCCAAGAGGACAUUGAUAGAGAAGCCUGGAGGGAGGAGCUAAAGAAGACUCAGGUCUCCACUGCAAGCACGCAGUGCAGGGCAGACUGGCAGCCCAGCCGCAUACCCGUCAGCCCCCUUCCAGGCAAUGACUUGACCAGUGCUCUCUGCCUGCCUCCCUCUUGCUGCCCCGGGGGGUUCCGAACCCUGAGUGGUUCUUAGUGACUCACUUCAACACCAGCGCCCCCAGCUCCAAGCACCAGGGACACCUAGGACAUGAAAACCAGGGAGGCUCCUGAGAAGGGGGGGGGAAAUGAGCCAACGGGCACACAGGUGACCCUGACCAUGUCCAGUGCUUCAGAAGAGGCUUGUGUGGCAGGAAAGCAUGUGCCCUGCAGAUGGACGUGUCUGGAUGUCCACUGAGAAUGGGUGUGCACGGUGGCCUGGAGGGACAAAGUCUCAGGCAGAAGGACCCAAGGGCAGGAAGAAGCUGGGGUCUCAGGGACCCAGGGCUGAGGAAGACACAGCGUUCCUGCUUGUCCUGACCUUGCCUUCAGAGGGCUUGAGGCUGAACCAGGCCCCUGUUGAGGGAAGAGAGGAGGAUGCAUUUCCCAUGGGCCAUGUGACAAAGCGAACACAUUUCUAUCCCUUGAGCCAACGUCAUUUGUUCUCAAGUGAUCAAGCAGAGGUGGUGGCAGCACCGGGGACGUGGGCAGCAGCAGGUGUGGGCCCUGCAUGGUGUUUCAGGAGAGGGCCCUGGGGACAGGUGACGGGGACAGGUGACGGAGCAUCAUCUGCUGGAAGGCAGGCUUCCCAUCUGGAGGUGACCUCAGGGAGGCUGCUCCAAGGUGGUGCUGGCUGUGAGGGAGCCG